rnacentral:hammerhead_ribozyme from 1 species
AAGCGAAACCAUAGCGGAUGUGUUCGCUAUGGUCUGCCGGACGGGGUUGUCCGGUACUGAUGAGCAGCCAAGG